ACGCUCGACACCUACAGGAGGCAGCAGUGGGGAAUAUUGCACAAUGGGGGAAACCCUGAUGCAGCGACGCCGCGUGAGUGAAGAAGUAUUUCGGUAUGUAAAGCUCUAUCAGCAGGGAAGAAAAUGACGGUACCUGAGUAAGAAGCCCCGGCUAACUACGUGUCAGCACGCCGGACGGUAAUCUGAGGCGGGCUGGACGAAGGC
rnacentral:rRNA from 1 species